GACGCUCACUGAAAUACUGAACCGCUCAAAUGAGAAAAAGUCGUUUUAUUUUAUGCGUUGGCAGCUACCCUAUUGGAUGUAUAACAUUUACUGUGCAGUGGGCAUGUUUGCUUUUGGAGCAGCCUGCUCUCAGCUGACGACUGACGUUAUGAAGUACACAAUUGGAAGACUGAGGCCACAUUUCUAUACAGUGUGUUUGCCAAAUGUAAACUGCUCUUUACCCCAGAACCAACACGUAUACCAUACGAAUUUUGAAUGCACCAAUCCUUCGUAUAUAUUUAACAAAAGAGUCAUGAAAGAACUAAGGUUAUCCUUUCCCUCAGGACAUUCAUCAUUUUCGAUGUACACUAUGGUUUAUUUUGCGAUAUACCUGCAAAAACGAAUGACAUGGGACGGAUCGAAACUUCUGAGACACACUCUGCAAUUUCUCGCGGUGUUGUCGUCAGUUUUUACCGCAAUGACCAGGGUUUCGGACUACAAACAUCACUGGAGCGAUGUCUUGGCAGGUUUAUCUCUUGGGACCAUCGUAGCGUGCAUCGUGGCUAAUUGCUUUACACGGUAUUGGGCGAACAAUCACAAAUUAAGAGACACGUAUAUACCGAUCUAAAUGCGCACGGGCACGCAAUCGAAUAUGUUCGUGGCUAACCAAUCCAUUAUAAGGGACGAUGCUUUUCCAAUUUAUUUGCAAGAAAUCGACAAACCGAAGCUCCAGAACAUUCUGAAUUGACCAAUCACAACG
rnacentral:misc_RNA from 1 species